AGUGAAUGUACUACAAACAGAAACAUCCAGACUUGAACUUGACUCCGCAUUGCGCUAAAUUCGCCGCGGACUAAUUGAAUAAUCGCACGCAGAACAAGCCUUUAUUUGCCCGAUUCACUUUCAGUCGCUUGUGGUCGUCGAGCGCGUGGUCGUUAUUAGUUGCCCGACGGAAUGAUUAACCAAGUGAAUACAGAAUACAAGAUGACGAUGAGUAAGAGACUGUAACAUGGAAUGUCACAAUGUACAAUACACAAUGCUGAAUAUACAACCAACUCACUCACGCCCGGAUCAAACAAACGACAAACGAAAAAACAAACCGAGUGCGUUUGCUUCAAUUAACGCUUUGUGUGGUUUGCGCACACGUUUCGAUUCACCUCUGACCGCUGGCGAUUCCGAGCAAACGCCUUUUAAUUGAUCAAUAAAAUUACUGAAUUACACCACGUAUCGAUGUCAGCCACAAAUAUGAAUGAAAAUAGAAGAAUGUUACGUCAGACGGUGCAAGUUGGCAAAAUAUGGCUGUAUAACAUUAUUUAAAUCAAAAUUUGUUUACGCCAGCCUCCCAGAAUGCGCCAUAAUAUUGAAAUGUAUGUAAAUAUUAUGAAACUUUCAGUUAUUUUCAUUUUUCAACUGAAAAACCAGUGUAAUCAAUACACUGCCACACUUUCUAUUAUCUUCGAGUGAGUAGAGUUCUAUUUCUAAGCAUAUUUUCGUUGAUUACAGCUCGUUUUUCCAGCUGGUGGCAUGACUUCAUUAUUUAUUAUCGCCGCGUUACAUUUUCUGUCAGUUUGCGUUCAUAAACGCUGUUGCUCUGCCUACACACUUGCUCGGCACUCGGCUGCAAGUUGUACUUCGGACUAAAAUUACACUUUACACUUGAAACAUCGCCUAAAUCAUGCAUAAUCACGCGUACGUACGCAUGUUAGAAAUUGCAUGAAUAUGCAACCAUAUUAACAUAUAAACCACAUCGAAAUCUUUUGUUUCGUGCACGUAUUUGGACACAGUGACGAGCCGACGAGCUUUAUGCAAACGCGCGUUCACGGGCGUUCAAUAUUCGCACACGUUAUGUUCGAUUCUAAUUCUAUUAGUGAUUGUGUAUGGAUGUGCUAAUAGGUUUUGCUUACGUACGAGUGUGCGCGUGUAUUUAGUUGUGUCCGGAGACAGCGUGACGCUGCGUUUUAUGGUAGCUGGCAGUUGGAUGUACAUUGGGUUGCCUACAUGCGCGCCGGCAGGAAACGGCUCUUGCGCCUGUUUCGGCAUAUUUGAGUUUUCAGUUUGAGUUGGAAGUUUGGGUUAUGGGUUAGCGCUUGGAAUCUAAUCGAAUGCGAGCCGGGGCGGUGCACACACAUGUAUCGACAUUAUUUUCGCAUCGCUCUUGCCGGUCGGGUUCAUUUUGGUCGGCCGGGCGCGUCGCUAUUUAUAGUCGCGGCGCGGCGUGUUUGCAAACAUCGACGUAAUUCCCGUGCGCGACGUAAAAGUGUACGCCCGCUUGUAUUAAUGUAUUAAUCCGGCGAUGGGAAUGAUGGGAUUUUGGGAUGGGCGCGCGCGCAGGGAAAAAAACCGAGCGGAAUGACAGCGGUAUUUGCAUAAGCUCAGAAAAAUUACAGCGUGGAAAAUAAUGAAUUACGGGAUGGCAGUUAUUGGUACAAAUUGCGUUCAACCCUCAUAUUUGUAUCAAGUUUAAUGAGAACAAUGAAGUGGUUAAUUUACCAUUGUUCAUUUUGUGUUUGUUUCGAUUUUAAUUAUAGUAAUCACCGCCUUUUCAUUAAAAAUAUAUAGUA